AUCCUUCAGUUCUUAAACAUGACAAUUGGAUGUUUAUGCCUAUGUGUGAGAUGUGUCACCCUUGAACCUUGUUACCAUGUCUGCACAUUACCUGUCUGACA
ensembl:snoRNA